rnacentral:misc_RNA from 1 species
GAUGAAGAACGUAGCGAAAUGCGAUACUUGGUGUGAAUUGCAGAAUCCCGUGAACCAUCGAGUCUUUGAACGCAAGUUGCGCCUUAAGCCAUUAGGUUGAGGGCACGUCUGCCUGGGCGUCACAUAUCGUUGCCUGAUGCCAGUUUCCUCGUGAUGGGUGACUGUGCAGGGCGAAUGAUGGCUUCCCGUGAGCAUUGUUGCCUCAUGGUUGGUUGAAAAUUGAGUCCUUGGUAGGGAGCGCCGUGAUAGAUGGUGGUUGAGUGACGAACGAGACCCAAUCAUGUGAGACCCUUACCGAAUUUGGCCUUCAUAACCCACAUGCGUCUUUGGAACGCUCAUGACGAGACCUCAGGUCAGGCGGGGCUACCCGCUGAGUUUAAGCAUAUCAAUAAGCGGAGGA